rnacentral:lncRNA from 1 species
UUGCUUCUGUAUUCUAAAGGAUAUCAAGAUAUUGGAUUUCAGUUGGUAAAUAUGAAUAAAAAAUAGAAAUUUUAAUACAAAAUAACAUACGCCACUUUCAUUAAAAUGAAUACAUAUAGAGCAAUUUGGUAAUCUACUACACUUCUCUGCUGCAUGAAUUCAGUGACCUGUACCUGGACAGUACAUAAUAGCCAAAUCAAAAAUAUUUAGUACGAAACAAACUUAUAAAAUAAAGUAUAAGCAAUAUAAAAAUAUAGUACAAAAUGCUAUAAAAUACAUAAAAUAUAUCAAAAGUGCUAAAUACAUAACUAAGAAAAUUAUGGGUAACCCAAGAAGGGUUAAAUAUCAAAACUUGAAUAUCUUACCUUUUGGACAUGAUCAUAUUGUAUAUUCUGGUCAACAAAGAGAACCAACUGUAAAAAAAUUGAUUUAAUGAUUCCAACAGGGACUCAUAGUUCUAGAGAAAACCCAUCCUUUAUGGGAUUAUAUGGUGAAACAAAGCUUACAACCUAUGCAACAUUCAACAUUAGAUAAUAAAAUAAAAAUGGUUUUAUAUUUUUGAAUAUAAUCAUGCAAACAUUAAAGAAAAACUGGGGUUGCUUAUUGUUGUUGAUCUAAUGAACCAAAAAUUGUCUUUAAGAACAGAACUGCACAUAUAGAUCAAUUCUCACAUCUUCUCAAAAAAUAAUUAAAUAAGUACAACUACUGCACUAAUCACAUAUCUCCAAUUAUUAGCCUAAAAGUAGUAUUACUUCAUGAAAGUAUACAACAACAUAUUGAAAAGUUAUUAAAUGAUGAAGUAAAUUACAUUUGAAAAUAACACUUAUCGAGCUUUAAAAUCACAAGCAGAGUAUGCAUUGAUUCAAACAUAAAGUUUCAUCUUCUGAUUUGAAAGAUUAAUGGUGAUUAGAGUAUGAUGAUGAAGUAUGUAAGAGUAAUUAUGACAUUGACAUAAACUAUAAAUCAAAAUCAACUUAGUCACCCAAUUGGAAGCGAGAAAGAUAGUUUGAUUGAGAUUUGAUUUUGGAAAAUGGAAAUACAUAACAUACCGUCAACAUCACGAGGUAGGCCAAAACCAGAACCCGAACCGCCAGAGAUCUCCCCCUUGUGGUGUAAAAUGUGGAGAUGUUUGGAGUGUCAACUCUGCAAUGAAAAAUUUAAUGAUUUGUUACAGAGCUAACAAUGAAUGCAAAAAUAUUUACGAAAAUCUGAAGAUUGACAAGGGAUACCGUUGAAUUUAACAGAGACUUGUCCCGACGGAUCUGGAUUAGAUUGAAAGCAUUGGUGAUUCACUUAUGCUCGAUGAAUCAAGGAGUCGUGCAACGACAAAACCUUGUGAAGAAAUCCCCAUGGUUUUGCUUCUCACCACAAACGCAACACAAAACAAUCGCAAAUUUGCAGAGAAAAAAAAGACGAUGGCAGAUGGUGAAAGAAAGACGAUGGCAGAAUUGGUGGCGGUGAAUGGAUUAGAGUUGGAAGAAAGAGAAGGGAGACGGUGAUGGUGAGGAACAGAUUAGGGUUUUAGUAAGAGAGAUAGGAGAUAAGAAUCUCUCACGACUGAUUUGGUGGCUGAUUGUUCGGCUUCAACAUGGAAAGUUCUAAACUAUUACAGAGACUUUGUCAAAUAAGAAUAUAUUUUUCUAGUUUAAAUUCCUGGAUGGUAGCAACAAAGGAAAUGGAAUCCAACUUAUUCACUGAUAAUAUCCGAUCCUUGAUUCCUAAUUUUUAGAAACGAAAUAAAGUAAAUAUGAAGGACAUAGGCGGGAAAAACAGUCAAAGGAUUUUUGUGGUAAUGACACGUGGCAU